GUGUCUUAAGAGCAUCUGGUGGAUGCCUUGGCGCUAAGAGGCGAUGAAGGACGUGGUACGCUGCGAUAAGCCAUGGGGAGCUGCGAACAAGCUUUGAUCCGUGGAUUUCCGAAUGGGGAAACCCACCCGCAAGGGUAUCUUGCACUGAAUACAUAGGUGCAAGAGGCGAACCUGGGGAACUGAAACAUCUAAGUACCCAGAGGAAAGGACAUCAACCGAGACUCCGUUAGUAGUGGCGAGCGAACGCGGACCAGGCCA
rnacentral:rRNA from 1 species